GCGGGAAUAUUGGGCAAUGGCCGAAAGUCUGACCCAGCGACGCCGCGUGAGGGAUGAAGCUUCUCGGAGCGUAAACCUCAAACGGAUAGGGACGAAAAGCCUAUCGGCUAAUAUCCGGUAGGCCUGACGGUACCUGUUACGAAGCUCCGGCUAACUCCGUGCCAGCAGCCGCGGUAAUACGGGGGGAGCGAGCGUUGUUCGGAAUUACUGGGCGUAAAGGGCGUCUAGGCGGGUCGGUCAGUCAGAAGUGAAAACUCCCGGCUUAACUGGGAGCCUGCUUUUGAAACUGCCGGUCUUGAGUGUGGAAGAGGUGCGGGGAAUUCUCAGUGUAGCGGUGAAAUGCGUAGAUAUUGGGAAGAAUGCCGGUGGCGAAGGCGCCGCACUGGUCUAACACUGACGCUGAAGCGCGAAAGCGUGGGGAGCAAACAG
rnacentral:rRNA from 1 species